GCCAGUAUAGCUCAGCUGGUUAGAGUGAUGGCCUCAUAAGUCAUAGGUCGAUGGUUCAAUUCUAUCUGCUGGCACCA
rnacentral:tRNA from 1 species